GACGAACGCUGGCGGCGUGCUUAACACAUGCAAGUCGAACGGAAAGGCCCUGCUUUUGUGGGGUGCUCGAGUGGCGAACGGGUGAGUAACGCGUGAGUAACCUGCCCUUAACUUUGGGAUAACUUCAGGAAACUGGGGCUAAUACCGGAUAGGAGCUCCUGCUGCAUGGUGGGGGUUGGAAAGUUUCGGCGGUUGGGGAUGGACUCGCGGCUUAUCAGCUUGUUGGUGGGGUAGUGGCUUACCAAGGCUUUGACGGGUAGCCGGCCUGAGAGGGUGACCGGCCACAUUGGGACUGAGAUACGGCCCAGACUCCUACGGGAGGCAGCAGUGGGGAAUAUUGCACAAUGGGCGGAAGCCUGAUGCAGCAACGCCGCGUGCGGGAUGACGGCCUUCGGGUUGUAAACCGCUUUCGCCUGUGACGAAGCGUGAGUGACGGUAAUGGGUAAAGAAGCACCGGCUAACUACGUG
rnacentral:rRNA from 1 species